AUAUCUAUACUAUAUUAAUAAGCAUAUCAGAAGGACUUCUUAAGGUCCUUUAAAUUUUCUUAAAACACCUUUCAAACAUGUUGUACAAGUCUUUUAAGCACAACUAACACAAUUAUAUCCUCACUUUCCAAUAAUACCCUUAUGAAAACAAACAAAUCCUGAUCCUACCAUCCAUCUUCACAUGAAUCAUGAUCCUACCGUCCAUUACUCUUCACACGGAUCAUGAUCCCUUACUCGCAGAUCUCAUUUUCAAAAGCUUCCAAAACAUUUCCCCCAGAUUGUCAAAUUCCUCUCUCUGCAUUUUCAAAUUUUGAAUUCCCAAAUGAAAAGAGAAGAGAGGGAGACAAAGAGAGAACGAGAAAUAGAGAGAGAGGCGAUGGAGAAGGAGAGCCGGGUUUAUGUCACCGAAGCAGAACAGAUGACGGCUAGGGUUUCACGUCUAAUCCCGAUGACGGCGGUUAAGGUUGCUUCUCCGGUAGCGACCUAAGGAGGCUGAGGUGAUGAGCUGAAGUGCGGAUGAACGACUGUUAUGGUUCACUAGGGUCAAUUGCCGCACCCCAUGUGACAGAUAGUACAGAUCUCUUGUCGGAGGAGGUUAUGGCGAUCUACCUACCAUGGAUGUUGUUGUGACUCUGGACCAAGUUCCUCGAUGGAGUCAUGUAGAUUUAAGAUGUUCAUAUGAAUCCGAAGAAGACUGAAGAUUACACUUUCCGGACCCGUUAACUGUAUAUUUUGAGACUGAGAGCAGUGGGAAUGGUAUGGUUUCUAGAUUUCCAGUUGAUGUUGAAAUAAACUCCAAGAUUUUUUUGUGGAGAGGUAACCCCUGGAAUCUGGAAGUUGAUGCUGUUGUCAACUCUACAAAUGAGUCUUAUUACAGAACAUGGAUAAAGCACACUGCAGCCCUGGUUUGCAUGAUGCAGCUGUGCCUGGUCUUGCUGAAGAAUGCGCGAAGAUGGUAACAAUCUGGAUAAUCAAGUUCUUUGUGAGAAAUCUUGAAAAAAAUACCGCGUUAAUGUGGUGUAACAUUUGAUUGUCACAGGAUGGCCUUUUGUUUUUUGAUUUUUUUUAAAUUUUUUUGAUUAUUUGAUUUUUUUUUGGAUUUUUUUUGGAUUUUUUUUGUUUUUUAUUUAUUUAUAGUUUUAGCCUGUCAUGCCCAAAUCCAUCUUGACCUAAACCUAUCCUAACCCAUUUCUUAAUAAACCCAUCCUAACCCAAACCCAUCUUAACCCAUACCCAUCCUAACCCAUUACCCAAACAUGCCCAGCCCACUCAUUUUGCCACCCCUAACUGUCAUAGAGGCUGUAUGACAUGGCGAAAAUGAUCAGGAGGGGUUGUAUAGUGUGUUAGACUGGCACAUCGUAUGGACCUUAAUGUCUUAUACACGCAUAUGAGUUGGAAUUCACCAAAAUACACGGACCGUAUGAUGGGUACAUUGACGUGACCACUGACAAAGUGAUUAUGCCUGUAUAACCAUUUUCGCCUGGUCAUAUGGCCCUAAUCCCCUAAAAGACAAGGGCUUACUGCCUCAUUGAUAUGCCAUGACAGGGGUAUGAAAUCCCCUUUUCUUAUGAUUUAAUACUAGGUAUUUAGUAGGAAGAGUACACAUAAGUUAUUUGCUUACUUUUUUCAACUAAAUUGGAGAAAUAUGCAAGCAUUCAGUUAACAACUUGGAGACUUCCAUUGCAAGAAGCACAUUAUACCAGAGCCUACCUCCUGAUAUAGAAUUAUAUUAUCGGUCCAGACUAGCUUUAUUUCAUGUAGAUAAAGAGCUCGAUGUUCCUGCUAUUAAAGCCAAAAUUGAAAGAAGCGCUAUGUUGGUUUUCCCAAUAGCCGUAACCACAGCAAAGGCUCAUCAUGGAUUUGGUUGGGUUGGCGAGUGGGCGGACACCAGGCUACUGGAAAAGCAAUACCUUUAACUGUUGGAUUUGUCAUACUGGUGGCUGCAAGAGAGGCUGGUGGUCUUGUAGUCGAUAUGAUCCGCCAGAAAAAAAGAUGGCUGGAAGGGCACUUCUACAUGCUGGACCACCGGGUACGGGUAAAACUGCCCUUGCCCUUGGUAUCUCUCUAGAACUUGGCACUAAGGUCCCAUUUUGUCCCAUGGUUGGAUCAGAAGUCUACUCAUCGGAAGUAAAGAAAACCGAGGUUUUGAUGGAGAAUUUCAAAGGGUGGCAGAGCUUGUCACCGGUGUCUUAUUUACUGACGAGGUACAUAUGCUGGAUAUGGAGUGUUUUUCGUACCUAAACCGUGCUUUGGAAAGCUCAUUAUCCCCAAAUGUAAUCUUUGCCACCAAUAGAGGGAUAUGUACCGUGAGACUAUAUUUGACUCUUUUUGGAAACGACGAGUUGUAAACUUGUUUCUGUUGCAGCCACGCAACCGUCCACAACAGCCACGACCAAUAGCUUCGCCGAGGUAACUACAGUUUCAUAUUUUGACAAAUCAUCUUAACUUUUAUACUGCACCAAAUGGUCUUUUCUUGCAUCUUUUGUUGAGUGUUUUUUCAGUUUUCUUGUCCCUGAGAUUACUGAAGACAAAAUCCAUCUGUUGGAAGGCUAAUUUUCUGUUGCAGGUUUGGCGAGCUCACUUCUGAAGAUCCAAACCUAUUGAAGUUGGUUUCAAAGAAUCUCAAGAUGACAUGUUUUACCGCAAGUCUUGUAUUUAUAUGCGAGAGAUUUAAUUAUGGUGUAGUAACAAUUAGAAGCUUUGCUAAAUUCAGACUAAUUUAUGAGUGACUUUUAAUUCUUUCUGCUAUCAAGCUUAAUCAGGCACCAGUAUUCAUAUACUUUUUUUGUUUGCUAAAAUCGGGCUCCAGAUCCUGUACUAGGUGGUUAUUAUGUGAUAGGUUCGGGUGGGUUUUAUUGGGCUUUUAAUCCUAAUCCAUGUAAUUAUAGAGUUCAGAGAUUUAGAGGUACACAGAUUACGAAGGCCCAGUGCAUUGAGGCAAGAACGGCAGAACUAAAUGUGCAAUUUGCUCAUAGGGACUUUGCCUUUUCAUAUGACGAGGGUUCAAAUCCCAUUGAUAACAAAAAAAAAUAACGUUUGGGGAUUUUGAAACCAAGGCUGCAUUUAGUUAUAAUAAUGUUAAUUUUGACACAUUGUAUUAUGUGUUUAUCACACUCAUACUCAUCAUUAAACAUGUUAUCGAUAACCCGAUUAAAACCGAACAACUCGUUCAUAAAUCGUCAACUUAAAUCACCCAUUUAAAAAUAUGGGUUAAACGGGUUGGCUUCGGGUUAACCCGAAUAUGGGUCGGUUUAGGGUUGAACAUUUCAACCCGUCAACCCGCCAACCCAUCAACCCGACACGAUUGCCACCCCUACUACAAAUCACAAGAUCUAAAAUCGAGAUUGAUGUCACCAUUUUUGUCUGCUGAAUAGCGGUUUACCUGUAUUUGAUAGUGUAAUGAUAGCUUCAACAUAAGAACCCAAAUAUGUUAAGUUACAUGAUCUGAAUGAUUACAAGAUCUAUGUUACAUGAUUAGUAGAUCCAUCUACGACCUUAUUGGAUGAACGAUUCAUGAAUCUCAUCAGGUUAUGAUAGUUUGCUCAAGGUUAAUUCACUUUUGUCACUGUUUCUUUCUUCUGCUUCUUUUUUUUUCAGUUUAAACCCGAGGAGAUGAAAGGCAUCAUUAUGGAAUUCGACUAGGCUGGUACUCUUGCUCCAACAGGUAUGUUUAUCACGGUUGCAAAAUAUAUGGUACUCCAAAGAGAGCCUGGAGCUGUUAUCCGUGGAAAGAAGGUUGAACACUGCACG